UGCACUUUCGUUUAUUACAGAUUAUUCUAAAAAAAAAAGAACUACAGGUUCUGGUGCGGUUGCGUGGUCAUUUUAUUGGCGAAUACACCAGUUCCUUGGGAGUCUGCCGGUAAAUGACGCUACACUUGCUGUUGAAAGCAACUGCGAAAGCCUCUCCAUUUCACAGAUCAUACGCACUAUGGAAACGGGGAAUGAAUUGAGCGAGCUUCUUGGCAGUGAGGCCCACAUGCAGCUGCUGACAGAAGUUCCAGAAUCUUCAAGUGCCACCGUUGCCUCAAGUACUGCUAAUUUAGAUCAAACUGCAGCAACUGGACCGGCGGAGACAGCUGCACCUGCCGUGGAAAACCGCAAUGCAGUGAAUCGGCACCAGCGGAAGCUGGAGCAACUGCGGCACAGCCAGCUGCAUCAAAAAAAAGGACACGAGCUGGCCCCGAUUCUGCAAUCAUGGAAAUGGUUAAAGAGCAAAAGAUGUUCAGAGGAAUGUGGCAAGAGUUCAAAGCACGAGAGCUCGAGCUACAAAAUGAACAGUUGAAGCUUCAGAAGGAAGCAGCUAAAAGAGAAGAAAAGCUGAUUGAUAUUCUUCUGAAGUUCCUUGAAUAAUGGAGGCCUUAAAGAAAGAUUUAUUCAAUAAAUACUAGUUUGCCUUUGU
rnacentral:lncRNA from 1 species